GCGACCUCAGCUCAGGCGAGAACACCCGCUAAGUUUAAGCAUAUAAUUAAGCGGAGGAAAAGAAACUUACAAGGAUUCCCCUAGUAGCGGCGAGCGAACCGGGAAGAGCCCAGCAUGAAAAUCGGGCGGCAGCGUCGCCUGAAUUGUAGUCUAUAGAAGCGUCCUCAGCGGCGGACCUGGGCCAAGUCCCUUGGAAGGGGGCGCCUGAGAGGGUGACAGCCCCGUCGGCCCGGGACCCUGCCGCAUCACGAGGCGUUGUCGGCGAGUCAGGUUGUUUGGGAAUGCAGCCCUAAUUGGGUGGUAAAUUCCGUCCAAGGCUAAAUACGGGCGAGAGACCGAUAGCGAACAAGUACCGCGAGGGAAAGAUGAAAAGGACUUUGAAAAGAGAGUUAAAGAGUACUUGAAAUUGCCGGGAGGGAAGCGGAUGGAGGCUGUCGAUGCGUCUCGGUCGGAUGUGGAACGGCUCAGGCUGGUCCGCCGCUCGACUUGAGGUGCAAACCAACACGGGCUGCUGCAUCGUCACAAGCGCGGGCGGAUUGUCGCCUGUCGGUUUGCCGCUGCGGUGGUCGAGGAACGAAGCGUGCGCCCUUGUGGCGGGCCGUGUGCACCUGCGCGCUCGUGGUGUUGGUUGGCGGGCUUUCCAUUCGACCCGUCUUGAAACACGGACCAAGGAGUCUAACAUGUGUGCGAGUCGGCGGGUUUGAAAACCUGCGAGGCGCAAGGAAGCUGACGGGCGAGAUCCCCUCUCUUGGGGGGGGCAUCGUCGACCGACCUUGAGCUCAUGCGAAGGGUUCCAGUGCGAGCACACCUGUUGGGACCCGAAAGAUGGUGAACUAUGCCUGAGCAGGGCGAAGCCAGAGGAAACUCUGGUGGAGGCUCGUAGCGAUACUGACGUGCAAAUCGUUCGUCUGACUUGGGUAUAGGGGCGAAAAACUAAUCGAACCAUCUAGUAGCUGGUUUCCUCCGAAGUUUCCCUCAGGAUAGCUGGAGCUCACGCGCGAGUUUUAUCGGGUAAAGCAAAUGAUUAGAGGCAUCGGGGGCGUAACGCCCUCGACCUAUUCUCAAACUUUAAAUAGGUAAGAGGUUGCGGCUGCUCCAUUGAGCCGCGCCGUGGAAUCGAGAGCUCCAAGUGGGCCAUUUUUGGUAAGCAGAACUGGCGAUGCGGGAUGAACCGAAAGUCGAGUUACGGUGCCGAAUUGCGCGCUAACCUAGAUCCACAAAGGGUGUUGGUUGAUUAAGACAGCAGGACGGUGGUCAUGGAAGUCGAAAUCCGCUAAGGAGUGUGUAACAAACUUCACCUGCCGAAUUCCAACUAGCCCGAAAAUGGAUGGCGCUGAAGCGCGCAACCUAUACACAGACAAGAACAGAGCAAUGCCUGGCUCCGAUGGAGUAGGAGACGCGGGGUCGUUGAGAACCUCGGGCGUUGAGCUUGGGUGAUCGGCCCCCGGUGCAGAUCUUGGUGGUAGUAGCAAUUAUUCAAAUGAGAACUUUGAAGACUGAAGUGGGGAAAGGUUCCAUGUGAACAGCACUUGGACAUGGGUUAGUCGAUCCUAAGAGAUGGGGAAGCCUUGUAUCAAGGGUGCACUCUGCACGAGCAUCGAAAGGGAAUCGGGUUAAUAUUCCCGAACCCGGACAUGGCGGCGGGCGGCAACGUUAGGAAAUCCGGAGACGUCGUCGGGGGCCCCGGGAAGAGUUAUCUUUUCUUUUUAACAGCUUGCCCACCCUGGAAUCGGUUCACCCGGAGAUAGGGUCCAGCAGCUGGAAGAGCACCGCACGUCUUGCGGUGUCCGGUGCGCCCUCGGCGGGCCUUGAAAAUCUGGAGGACCGAGUACCGUUCAUGCCCGGUCGUACUCAUAACCGCAUCAGGUCUCCAAGGUGAACAGCCUCUGGUCAAUAGAACAAUGUAGGUAAGGGAAGUCGGCAAAACGGAUCCGUACCUUCGGGAAAAGGAUUGGCUCUGAGGGCUGGGCCUAGGGGUCUGCGCCCUCAACUCGUGGGCUGUCGGCAGUCUGCCCGAGCUGCUCUCGCGGCGAGGGCGAGUCGCGUGCCGAUUGGGCUACGGCCGUAGAAUGCCCCCUGCCGGGGGCUUUUCCCUAGGCGUCGAACAGUCGACUCAGAACUGGUACGGACAAGGGGAAUCCGACUGUUUAAUUAAAACAAAGCAUUGCGAUGGUCCCUGCGGAUGCUGACGCAAUGUGAUUUCUGCCCAGUGCUUUGAAUGUCAAAGUGAAGAAAUUCAACCAAGCGCGGGUAAAUGGCGGGAGUAACUAUGACUCUCUUAAGGUAGCCAAAUGCCUCGUCAUCUAAUUAGUGACGUGCAUGAAUGGAUUAACGAGAUUCCCACUGUCGCUAUCUACUAUCUAGCAAAACCACAGCCAAGGGAACGGGCUUGGUAGAAUCAGCGGGGAAAGAAGACCCUGUUGAGCUUGACUCUAGUCCGACUUUGUGAAAUGACUUGAGAGGUGUAGAAUAAGUGGGAGCCGCUUUCGGCGCAAGUGAAAUACCAC
rnacentral:rRNA from 1 species